AUGAAGGCGGCUGGUCCAUGCUUAACCGUCGUCGUCGGCGCGGUCAGGCGGCCAGUCAACCUCCGGGUCCAGCAGGUCCUCCUCCGGGGCCAGCAGGUCCUCCUCCGGGGGUUGCGUGCGGGAGUGGAGAGCCAUUCAGCCACUGAGGGAAACCUUUCGUUAGAGCGAGCGCUGAGCAACAGGUGGCUCGGUGGAACCAGACCGCUGAUACCUAAUUAUCACUCUUUUUCAGACACAAAUGUAGACAAACUUUUAAAGAAAUGAAAUUCUCUCACAUUCAUUGGCUGACAUUACAUGCUAAUUUGGGAAUUGUUUGCCUUCCAUAUCUCUGGGGGUCCUUUUGGUUGCGUCUGUUUUACUGCACAUUUACUAGCCUGUCUGCAAAAAACUUUCUUAGGUGUGAUCGGCUCCUCUGAAGCCUGCUGCUCACUUCCAACCUCUCCUCGUACCUCAAUACCUCAGCAGUUCUGCGGAGGGCGCUACUGCGCCUCUUGCUGUAUCACAAUCACGUUUCAUGCACUUUAAUACAUUGUAUUACAUUUGUUUUUACAUUCAACGUAAAGUGUAAAGUGUUUUAAUAUUUUUGUAGGCCUUUAUGACUAGCCUAAACUUUGACUCUGGUUAGU
rnacentral:lncRNA from 1 species